AAUAGAUACCCGGGUAGUCCACGCCGUAAACGUUGGGCGCUAGAUGUGGGGGCCAUUCCACGGUUUCCGCGUCGUAGCUAACGCAUUAAGCGCCCCGCCUGGGGAGUACGGCCGCAAGGCUAAAACUCAAAGGAAUUGACGGGGGCCCGCACAAGCGGCGGAGCAUGCGGAUUAAUUCGAUGCAACGCGAAGAACCUUACCAAGGCUUGACAUAUACGAGAACACUGCAGAAAUGUAGGACUCUUUGGACACUCGUAUACAGGUGGUGCAUGGUUGUCGUCAGCUCGUGUCGUGAGAUGUUGGGUUAAGUCCCGCAACGAGCGCAACCCUCGUCGCAUGUUGCCAGCACGUAAAGGUGGGAACUCAUGUGAGACUGCCGGGGUCAACUCGGAGGAAGGUGGGGAUGACGUCAAAUCAUCAUGCCCCUUAUGUCUUGGGUCUUCACGCAUGCUACAAUGGCCGGUACAAAGGGCUGCAAUACCGUAAGGUGGAGCGAAUACCCAAAAACGCCGGUCUCAGUUCGGAUUGAGGU
rnacentral:rRNA from 1 species